rnacentral:misc_RNA from 1 species
GAAAUGCGAUACGUAGUGUGAAUUGCAGAAUUCCGUGAACCAUCGAAUCUUUGAACGCAUAUUGCGCUCGACUCCUCGGAGAAGAGCAUGUCUGCCUCAGCGUCGGUUUACACCCUCACCCCUCUUCCUUAACAGGAGGCGCCUGUCGUGCUUGCUUAAGCCGGCAGCAGGGGUGGAUCUGGCUCUCCCAAUCGGAUUCACUCUGGUUGGGUUGGCUGAAGCACAGAGGCUUAAACUGGGACCCAAUUCGGGCUCAACUGGAUAGGUAGCAACACCCUCGGGUGCCUACACGAAGUUGUGUCUGAGGACCUGGUUAGGAGCCAAGCAGGAAACGUACUCUGUACGUACUCUGUAUUCGACCUGAGCUCAGGCAAGGCUACCCGCUGAACUUAA